rnacentral:tRNA from 1 species
ACCAAGCUGGCUCAGUUGGUAGAGCAUGUGACUCUUGAUCUCUGGGUUGUGAGUUUGAGCCCUACGCUGGGCA